CCUACGGGUCGCAGCAGUGGGGAAUAUUGCACAAUGGGCGCAAACCUGAUGCAGCCAUGCCGCGUGUGUGAAGAAGGCCUUCGGGUUGUAAAGCACUCUCAGCGGGGAGGAAGGCGUUAAGGUUAAUAACCUUGGCGAUUGACGUUACCCGCAGAGGAAGCACCGGCUAACUCCGUGCCAGCAGCCGCGGUAAUACGGAGGGUGCAAGCGUUAAUCGGAAUUACUGGGCGUAAAGCGCACGCAGGCGGUCUGUCAAGUCGGAUGUGAAAUCCCCGGGCUCAACCUGGGAACUGCAUUCGAAACUGGCAGGCCAGAGUCUUGUAGAGGGGGGUAGAAUUCCAGGUGUAGCGGUGAAAUGCGUAGAGAUCUGGAGGAAUACCGGUGGCGAAGGCGGCCCCCUGGACAAAGACUGACGCUCUGGUGCGAAAGCGUGGGGAGCUAACAGGAUUAGAUACCCUCGUAGUC
rnacentral:rRNA from 1 species